GAAAAGCCCUCCCAGCCCAUGGAUCCCCCCCUGUGCCCCAUCCCCACCUUGUCCCCCAGCCCAGAGCACUGAGUGCCACGGCCAGGCCUUCCUGGGACACCUCCAGGGCUGGGCACUCCAAACCUCCCUGGGCAGCCCCUGCCAAGGCCUCACCACCCUUUCCAUGGAGAAAUUCCUCCUGAUGAAGAAACUCUUCCACACGAGUGAACUGCCCCAGGAAAUGCCGACCAGCUGCGACCAUUUUCUGCCCAUGGAGCGCCUGGUCUGAAGGGCUGCUCUGGCCUCUUCCUCCAUCAUUUCUCACUGCUUUCACCUGCCACAAAGAUUCCUCCUCGGCCCUUGCCUGCCUCGUUUGCCUUUGCUGGUGUCCUGGCUGCAGCCCUGGAAGCUCCACAGUCUGGGGAAAACGUGUUUCCAAGUAUUGAUCCUUAAAUAGGAAAAGAACAAACCAUAAACCAGGAACUCGAUAUCCAUGGAAACAUGGGAGCUCCAGCUCCCGCGACUCCCCCAACACAACAGGAAUUAUUGUGCUGUCAUUCUUCCAACUUCAGCCUCAACGGUGGGAAGGGACCCCUUGGCUCCUCUGCCUGAUUGUUACCUGUCAUUUAUGGUUAAAUAAUAUUGUCAAAAGACUAGCACUGACUGAAAUUUUAUGUUCCCAUUUCAGAGAUAAUACCUGCCACAUACUGCUGUAUUAAGUGUUAUUUGAGGUUUAGGAUUAGAUAGAUAGACAGAUAAAUA